CAGUCGCCGCGGUAAAACGGAGGGUGCAAGCGUUAAUCGGAAUUACUGGGCGUAAAGCGCACGCAGGCGGUCUGUCAAGUCGGAUGUGAAAUCCCCGGGCUCAACCUGGGAACUGCAUUCGAAACUGGCAGGCUAGAGUCUUGUAGAGGGGGGUAGAAUUCCAGGUGUAGCGGUGAAAUGCGUAGAGAUCUGGAGGAAUACCGGUGGCGAAGGCGGCCCCCUGGACAAAGACUGACGCUCAGGUGCGAAAGCGUGGGGAGCAAACAGGAUUAGAUACCCCGGUAGUCCCUGUCUCUUAUAC
rnacentral:rRNA from 1 species